rnacentral:rRNA from 1 species
AGUGAACGCUGGCGGUAGGCCUAACACAUGCAAGUCGAACGGCAGCACAGGAGAGCUUGCUCUCUGGGUGGCGAGUGGCGGACGGGUGAGGAAUACAUCGGAAUCUACUCUGUCGUGGGGGAUAACGUAGGGAAACUUACGCUAAUACCGCAUACGACCUACGGGUGAAAGCAGGGGAUCUUCGGACCUUGCGCGAUUGAAUGAGCCGAUGUCGGAUUAGCUAGUUGGCGGGGUAAAGGCCCACCAAGGCGACGAUCCGUAGCUGGUCUGAGAGGAUGAUCAGCGACACUGGAACUGAGACACGGUCCAGACUCCUACGGGAGGCAGCAGUGGGGAAUAUGGGACAAUGGGCGCAAGCCUGAUCCAGCCAUACCGCGUGGGUGAAGAAGGCCUUCGGGUUGUAAAGCCCUUUUGUUGGGAAAGAAAUCCAGCUGGCUAAUACCCGGUUGGGAUGACGGUACCCAAAGAAUAAGCACCGGCUAACUUCGUGCCAGCAGCCGCCGUAA